CCCUUCCUUGUUCUUCCCGCCUAUAUACCACCGUCGUCAGCUUACCCUGUGAAGGAUUAACAGUAAGCAAAACUGGCAAAGCCCAAAACGUCAGGUCGAGGUGUAGCGUAUGGAAGGGAAAGAAAUGGGCUACAUUCACUAAUUCAGUGCACACGAAUGACACCCUGAAACACGUGUCUGAAGGAGGAUUUAGCAGUAAGCAGAAAAUAGAGUGUUCUGCUGAAACUGGCCCUGAAGCGCGCACACACCGCCCGUCACUCUCCCCGAGCUAAGAUUCUCGAGUAAGUAAACACCUAUAACUGCAAAGGGGAGGCAAGUCGUAACAUGGUAAGUGUACCGGAAGGUGCACUUGGAAAAAC
rnacentral:rRNA from 1 species